UACGUAGGCAGCAAGCGUUGUUCGGAGUUACUGGGCGUAAAGGGUGUGUAGGCGGUUGUUUAAGUUUGGUGUGAAAUCUCCCGGCUCAACUGGGAGGGUGCGCCGAAUACUGAAUGACUUCGAGUGCGGGAGAGGAAAGUGGAAUUCCUGGUGUAGCGGUGAAAAUGCGUAGAUAUCAGGAGGAACACCGGUGGUGUAGACGGCUUCUGGACCGUAACUGACGCUGAGACACGAAAGCGUGGGUAGCAAACAGG
rnacentral:rRNA from 1 species